AGAAGGGAGCGGGGUACUGGAGGCAAUGGAGCUGUUUGCGUGUUUGGCUUUCCUGGUGUGCCAGCGACGGGCUCGGUGCCGCAAAAGGAGGGGGUUGUCUGCGAUGAGCCCAGGCUGAGAUGAGUCAUUAACAAAUGACAUGCACAGAGUACCUGGGGGAGGCAAACAGCACUGCAGCAGCUGGUUAAUGAAUCUGGCUUGAAGGAAAGAGUUAGAAGCUAUUCCGGGAAUGAAGCAGAAGGCAGAGUUGUUAACGGGGAAGGAUGCAGGAGGUGCUGUGCUGUUUGAGAAGGACAACAGAUAAAGAUUCUCUUGGCUCCCUGUGACUACAGGAAGGGCAGCAACUCAGAGCAGAGUUGCAUGAAUUAGGGGCUGAUGGGGACUGGUUUGUGAACAGUUUUGAGUGGGGAGUGCCCAGGGAGCUUAACUGUGCUAUGGGAAUGAGAGGGAGGUGGGAGCAGAGGCAGUUUUGAUGUAAACUCCCAUGUAUCGCAUGUGCCUGCUGGAGGCAGCUAAGGCAGCUUGUCUGAGCACUGCUGGACUCUGCUGGACACUGCUCCCUGGUGUGGGGAGAGUGUCCUGCCCUGCUUUGGUUUAUGGCAGCAAAGAGCUGCUCCAGCUGCAGCUCGCUCCAAGGUUGCAGCAGGGCAGACUUUGAGCUAUUGAACUUCUGUUUGCCUCCUCCACCCGGAGGGAGACAAAGUGGAUGGAGCUGCCUUCCCUCUGCUCUUCAGGGCUUUAUUGUCUAGCUUUGUGUUCUGCAGCUCCACUUGUACUACUGCUUGUUUAAUAUGGAAUUGAGCACUGAGCUGGAAAAUGGAAGAGAGGAUCUCAGCUGAUUGCAGUGCUGGUAGGCUGCCCUAGCCCUAAAGCUGUGCCUCAUGCUGACAAAUGUCCCUGGCAUUCCUGCUGUGACUCAGUUGAUACCAGCUAACAUCAGGCAAUUCUGGAAUAUGAUAAAGCAAUGCUGAUGUCAGUCUUUUACAGAAGAAAAAAAGUUUUGGCUCAAAAUAUAUUCAUUUUUUACUUCCCUCCUCACGCUCUUAGAUAAGUUGAAUGCCAGUUUAGUCUUGUGUUGAGAGCAGGAGGGAAAGUCAGUGAUGCUGACAGACCCUUCUGUGUUCAGAUUUGUUCAGACCAGCCCUGCAACUGGUCUUGUGCAGAUUUCUGAAAUCCAGUGGGUGCUUUUGGAGCUGCACUCAGGCUAGCAGAUCUCUCUCCAUGGAUCAUGUACAGGAGUAGGACCUGCAGAGCUGCUCUCCAGAGUGAAGCUGGGGAAGGCAAAGCUUUUGUUCCUAUAGAGACAGUGGUAGAAAGAGAUGGCCAUUCUCCCAACAGCCCUGCAAAGGGAAUUUUGCUGAACAGCUUUCAGUUCCUGUAAGAAUGGAAAAUGAUACAGACCUCAGAGGGUGGCUUUGGUUUUAGUGUUCUUAUCCUAUGGGGUUGAAAUGCUUUGCUUCAUGUGUGUGAAGCAGACUUGGGCUUACUUGUUGCAGGGGAGACAGAAGGAAGAGUGCCCUUAGCUUUGAUAGCUGUAUUGGAACGUAACAAAUCACGUAGGUAACCCAGACUUUUCCUAAACUUUCAGUUCUCUACAGGUUUAUGUGAGUGCAGCUAAGCUGGAAACCACCCAAAGCCACCCCUGCAGGGUAAAACAGUCCAAGCUUGUGUGUUUGUGGGGCUGCUGUGCUGGGGUUUGUUACUUCAGCAUCUGAGCCAAUUGCAAACUACAGUGGAGAGAAACAGCCUUUCUCUUUAUCAUUCUUAAAAAUGGGGAAAUGGAGAAAUUUAAGAACCUAUAGGCCCAGCUAGCAAGAUGUUGGGCACUUAGUCCCAAACAAAGUCUCUUGGUUUUUUUCCACCCCAUUAAUUCCUCUGUAGUAUCUGACCUAAUGCAAGGGAACCAAAACCUGAAUAUACAUAGCAUAUUUUUGUAUAAUCUGAGAGAGAGAGUAACCCAGGGGCAGCAAGGAAAGUAAAUUAAAGUUUAGAGUGAUCUCAGUUCCUGUUUGUAACCUCAACCUUGUAUUCUUAAUACAGAGUUUUAGCCUGACAGUCUGAUUGAAUUUCUCAGCAGAGUUCUUAGAAAUAUGUCAUUGUUUCACUCUGCUCCAUGAUGAAGGUCCGUGUUUCUCAGGGACUGUUGACAUUUUGCUGAUAUUUCAUCAAGUUUGGCCCUACCACAGAGCUACCAGAGCUGUUAGAGAGCACCAGCUCCUUCAGGAUCACCUGCCAGCUGUGAUGCUGUACCUUUUACAUCACGACUGUGAGAUGACACCUCUCCCUGCUGGCAGACAAGCCAGGUGGGUAGGCAUUGCUCCUCAGAGCUGUUCUGCACCUCGGGAGGUGCAGGCCAUUGCCUGGUGUAGCAUAAAGGAGGUCAAGGACAAGGGCAGCGUUAUAAAUAAGGGGCAAAGCGCAGAGCUGUGUCCUGUUCCAGCUCUGCUGCAGUUGCAGAGAGCAACCUCGGGCAGAUCAGCUCCUCUGCAGCUGCGUUUCCCAGGACAGCCUUGCUCCUGUGUGCUGACUGUGACAGGGGUUUGUGAAGGGCUUUAGUCUCCUGGCUGGGCAGAGGUUUAUUGCUGAUGGAAUUGAUGCGUAUGUGCAUCAGUAGGGGGGAAAUCUUAAACCUUUUAAGCUUUUCCAGAAGUCAUCUUCCUCCUCUGCAGCAUAUCCUUCUUUUCUCCUGAUGCAGAUAAGGUGGUCCAUUGUGGGAAUAUCAGCCCAGAGUAUUAUGGGUAAUAUUCCAGGUUAAUUAUGGAGGGGGCAGGAAAAAUAGCCUGUGCCGUUUUCAACAAUAUCAAAGGGAUGCUACCUAAUGAUUUUCCUAUUAGCUCUUUUCCCAGCCUGCCAGAGUCGCUGCAGAAGUGUCAUUUACAAAGGCAGUUUGCAACUCAUUACCCUGGAUUUUCACUGUAGUUCUGCUCCAGAGAGUGUGGGCUUUUGCUGCGUGCCCCAAACCUAAUGAAUUGCCUGAUUCGGUUAGUGCUGCCAUCCCUUCUGACAAGGUUAGUUGCUGACUGACAGGAAGGGGCCUGAAUUCAAUUCCCUUCUUGUUUUCGACUCACGCUUGUGUCAAGCGCAGGCUCCCUCUGGAAGCUGCCCUGUGAUCCCUUCCCUUUGUUUUUCUGUAUUCUGAGGGAAGCAGCCCAUGCUUGGAGAAGUCCUGCAGCAAGUGGCAGGGGCAUGUGUGCUGCUGCCCCUGGCAGUCCCUGCUCAACGCCUCAAGUCCCUUUCCAGCUGGAAAAUUCCUUUGCUCUCCUGCUCUGGGGCUCUGGGCUUUUCUUUUUCUUCAUUGCUUUGGGAUUUGCUGUCACCUGAGCUGGGCUUUGUAACCCUUCAGCCAGUAAAUACCUUGGAAAAGUUGCAAUGUGGGCUGGGGGAAGAGAACUGAUUUCCCACACAUUAGAGGGCAAUUGUGUCCCUGUUGUGGGAGCUUCAAGGUCUGCUCCAGCCUGUUUGAACUUUGCCAGGCACUUGUAUAACAGUGCUGGAGAAAGCUCUUUGUCCUUUUUCACUAGAGAGCAGUGUGCUUUUUCAGGCUGGGGGCCUAUGGCUCAACUCCUGCUAGGAAUAGCUCCUGAGAGGAGAAAUCAAGGCUGUUCUUAUGUCACAAGUGCUACCAUUUGGAAGCUGAAUGUGGCUACUGCUCAUUCAGCUGGUGGUGCAGGAAACAUGCAGGUGCUGAGAGUGCCAGUUUGAGCUGAGUGUGGACAGAGGAGCCUGAGACUCCUGCCCCCCUCACUUUCAGGUCUGUGGACACACACCUGCUAAAUGCUGUUCUCUGAGCCUGCAGUUGAGAUGUCAGAUGCCCCCCCCGAGGCUGCAGCUUGCAUCCAGGACAUCUCUUGUUCAAUUAUGCUGUCUCUGGGCUGGGCUGUGACAGGGGAGUUUUUUAGUGCUGGCCCUGGAUCCUUUUACUGGAUGUCUUGAGGAUCUGACCAAGCUGGCCCACAGGGGAGGCAGUGAUGUUUCAGAGAUCAAUUUGUUUCUGCUGCAUGUGGUGCCUUCUCCUCCACUCUUAAUUAGAUUCCUGUGGUCCCUCUUUCUUGCUGCCCUUGUUUGCUACUGAGCCCCUGUCAGGGAGACCCAGUUGUGGCCAUAUCAGCUGCUUGCUGUGCUCUAAGGAGCUGCUUCUGAUUCUGGCUUGUCCACCAAACUGAAGAAGGUACCUGUCAGUGCUCUGGAAACUGACCUCUGCUGGCAGUGCCACUCUGCCUGUCAGACCCACUGGUCUGGCUGUGCCAUGGGGAGCCUGAGGUGGAGUGGAUCUAAGUUAUCCCAAGUGCUCUUUCACCCCCAAGUGCUGCCUUCUCUCUUGCACAUCAGCUCACACCCCCAUGUGGGCACAGUGUUCCCGUCCUGCAGGUGGGAAUCCACCUGCUGAGGGACAGGGAGACUUAUCCCUGGUCAGAGUGGAAGCAGCAAAGCAAGGAGCCAGGCUAUUAUCCUCUUCCUCUGCACCAGGAGCUCUUGCUCUGAUCCCUCUCCUUCUGCCAAGCAACUGUCCUUUUGCCGUGCGGCUUUGUCCUUUUCCUUGGCCUUGCUCUUUACCAGUGGAUGGAAGGAACCCGUGCUGUGCUUUUUCCCUUGGACUACGCUGCAGAGGAGAAAUGGGAAUCCAGACUGUACAUGACUCCAGGCUGUGAUCUCUGAUCUCCCCUGAGGUUCUGCUUCACUUGGGUGGUCGAACUGUGUGGAUUGAGUUCCUUGGGCUGGGUCCCCCCACUGUGUUGAGGAGGGCCCCUCUGUCACCAGGCAGGUGAUUUUAUUCCAGCUCUGGCUUGCAGCAAAAAGCCAAAACUGGAAGGGGAAUUGUCCCCACCUUGGUCCCAGCCUGGCACUCUGUUAUGGUCACUACUCUGGCUUCGUGCUCAAGGACCAGGACUCUGAGAGGGACCUGCAGCACCACCUUCUUACACCAUCUUUUCAGACUUGGUGUGCAAGGUCUGCACAGUAAGCAAUUCCUUAUUGUCCCUUAGGUUUGCUGGGUGACAGUGGACAAUACCCUCUAAUAGGCAUCUCUUUAGCCCCUCCUUCCCUCUAGAGAUGUGUGAAGCUGUAGAAUGUUGUAUUUGCCUUACAGAGCCCUGACAGUGGGUUGUCAUUACCUGUGGACAGCUCUGGAGGGCUCCAGCUGACCCUCGUGUAGGGCACUGAGCUGCCACCAGCCCAUCCUGCCUCCCUCCCUCCCAGGGUCUUGAUUUUGUUCCCCGUAGGCAACAUCUUACGUGGUCCAUCAGCUGCUGCUCCCUGUCCAGCUGGACUCUGUGGGCACCACGAGGUGGGUACCUGUCUCUGAUGGAGUCUGUGCUCGUGCAAGGUUAGAAACAUCACCUGUGUGCUCCUAACCUGAUGAUUGAGCUGUCGGGUGUCUGAAUAAAUCCUCUUGUUCUGUAAACCUAAUGUUCUCUAAUAGUUGGGGUGAGUCUGGCUGAAGGUUUCUAUGGUUUCCUGGUGGUUGCUAAGGGAAAGGAUCGCUCUGCCUCUGGGUCUUGGUGACUUUCUUUUUGCCCUGUCCUAGGUACCGGAGCCCAGCAGAACAUAAUGCUUGUUGUUUCCCAGCCCACUACAAUGGCCAGGGCAUAAUUUGUGACUCCUGUCACGGCUGGGCUGGGCGCCUGCCACUCUUUUUUUCUAAGGCCUCUUUGAAAAAUGAGACCAAAGAGCCUUCAUGCAGGCGUUUGCAUGUUUGCUGCGCUCCCCGCCCCCUUACUUGCUGUUUCCUUUAGAGCUCCAAGUCAUUUUAACGAUUUAUUUCAUGCACUUUACAUAGCAAGAAGCUGUAGCAGCAGCUGUGUCCAUGAAUCCUUACCAGGCAGCCCUCAGUAUAUUUUGGUCUGUCUACGUAUUGUCCCAGACACAGUUAAAUAAAUCUCUGCUGGAGGAAGGGACUUUACAGCUCAGCAGCAAAGGGCUGGUGAAUGGGAACAUAAACAAGAUACUCAGUGAGCUGCCGGAUCCCGGAAUAACAGCGCCUCUGGCAUAAAGCUCUGUUCCCACCAGCGCAGCUGGGGGCCAGAUCCAGUGCGGGCUCUUUGUUGCUGUCAGCAGGGACUGCGUCUCCAUCCGGCGCCCAGUGAUAAUAUUAUAGUUACGGGGUGAAAGUUGGACCCAAACCUGCAGACUGGAAGCAGUUAUAACAUGUCUAGGCCAGGUGCUGCCCUUGUCGCCCUGCUGUCGAUCCAGGGCUCGGCUGUUGAACGUGGUGGGCUCAGUUCCACAGGUGCCAUUUGGGAUCUGGGCAUGGAUGAGCUCAGCUGGGUUCUGCAGAGGCUUGGAGCUGCACACAGCACCGGGCAGCAUUCGAUCCGUCAGGGCAUCACAGGAUUCACAAGUUUACUUUUGCAUAUGGGAUCAAAGCUUAAAAUAUCAGCUGGCCUUUCUCUUGCUCCUGACUUUUCUAAAACAUCUGAACAAUUUCUUCUUUAGCUCUGUUAAAAUCAAUCAAUCCGACAUUUAAAUGGUAUGUGAAUUUGAUAAAUAAAGACAGAUUACAAAAUGCCA